CAGGGAGACAACAAAAUGUUUAAUAUUAUUAUUUUGUCACCUUAGGUCGAUCGGUAUCUCACAUUCUUAAUUUAUUAAGGAUUUCAUUUCCUAAGUUUUUCUAGGUCACACCCAUUAUUUUUCCUGGGCCAUUAGCUCAGGUGGUUAGAGCGCACCCCUGAUAAGGGUGAGGUCCCUGGUUCAAGUCCAGGAUGGCCCAUAUCUCUAUGUUGGGGGUAUAGCUCAGUUGGUAGAGCGCCUGCUUUGCAAGCAGGAUGUCAGCGGUUCGAGUCCGCUUACCUCCACUGAUUACCACCUCUUCCAUAAUAUUGAUGAAGGAAAUGUUUUGAGUUGUGAUCAAAUUCUGAACGAUUCUAGCUUCCUAAUGAAAGCAUUAAGAUGCUGGAUUCAUUGAAUUAAUUUCAUUGUUUUCAGAGAACCUUGACAACUGCAUAGAUUAUUUUUAAAGACAAUAAGCAUCUUUAAUGAUGCAGAUUUAUUAUUUGUGCGAAUGCAUUAAAUAACAAUUCUAUUAAGCUGAUGCUUCAAUUAUUGAAGUUAUU
rnacentral:tRNA from 1 species